AUAGAAUAAAAUAGCCGGUCAAACAAAACCCUAGAAACCAAAAAUUACGAAGACCUCAGCGAAACGAUCACAAAAUUUAUUUCCCCAAAUUCUCGCUUUCGUUUUUUUUUUAUAAUCUAUCUAAACUCUCGUCUUUUUUUUCCCAAAAAAUCUCUUCUUUUUCUUUCAGAAUCAAUUUCAAUUCGCAGGUAUUUAUAUUGCUGAUAAUAAUGGCGGGUCAGAGGAAUAGUUCUGGCAAGCGGGCUCAUUCUCAGUCUGACUAUUCUGAGAAUGGAUCAAAUAAGAGGAGAAAUGCAGGGGAUGACAGGGAACAAUUUAUUAUUGCUUCGGAAGAUGCUGUAUAUCGGUAUUUGUGCCCUGCAAGAAAGAUAGGAAGCAUUAUUGGAAGGGGAGGGGAGAUUGUUAAGCAAUUAAGAGCAGACACUAAAUCAAAGAUUAGAAUUGGUGAGACAGUUCCUGGUUCUGAGGAGCGUGUGGUUACUAUCUACAGCUCUAGGGAUGAGACAAAUUCCCUCGAAGAGGGUGACAAUUUUGUUUCUCCUGCUCAAGAUGCUUUAUUCAGGGUGCAUGACAAAGUUGUUGCAGAAGAUUUGCACAGUGAUGAAGAAUCUGAAGGCCACCAAAUUACUGCUCGGCUUCUUGUAUCUUCUGAUCAGAUUGGAUGUGUUAUAGGAAAGGGUGGACAGAUCGUUCAGAACAUACGUAGUGAAACUGGUGCUCAGAUUCGCAUUCUUAAGGAUGAUUUACCUUCUUGUGCCUUGGCCACAGAUGAACUUGUCCAGAUAUCUGGGGAAGCUGCAGUUGUGAAAAGGGCUCUGCAUCAAAUUGCAUCUUGCCUUCAUGAGAAUCCUUCACGAUCUCAGCACUUGCUUGCUUCUGCAAUGUCAAAUGUGUAUCCUGCUGGUGGUGCACUGCUUGGCCCAGCUGCAGGUGCCCAGAUCGUAGGAAUAGCUUCAUUGGUGGGUCCUUAUGGAGGAUACAAAGGUGACACUGGAGAAUGGCCACACUCCUUGUAUUCGGCUCCAAGGGAUGAGAUGUCAUCAAAAGAAUUUUCUCUUCGGUUGGUUUGUCCAACUGCUAAUAUUGGAGGUGUGAUUGGCAAAGGUGGUGCUAUAAUCAACCAGAUCAGGCAGGAAUCAGGUGCAGCCAUCAAAGUUGAUAGCACAAAUACUGAUGGAGAUGAUUGCUUAAUAACUAUUUCAGCGAAGGAGUUCUUUGAGGACACAUAUUCACCUACCAUUGAAGCUGCUGCACGGUUGCAACCUAGAUGCAGUGAGAAGGUUGAAAGAGACUCUGGAAUUAUAUCAUUCACAACCCGCUUACUUGUGCCAACCUCACGUAUUGGCUGCCUUAUUGGUAAAGGAGGAGCCAUUGUAACUGAAAUGAGGAGGAUUACAAAAGCUAAUAUUCGUAUCUUGUCAAAGGAAAACCUUCCAAAAAUUGCAUCUGAAGAUGACGAGAUGGUCCAGAUUGCUGGAGACCUUGAUGUUGCAAAGGAAGCCCUUGUGCAAAUAACAACACGGUUAAGAGCAAAUCUUUUUGAUAGGGAAGGUGCUGUGUCUGCAUUAGUGCCUGUUUUGCCUUAUCUUCCUGUGCCAACAGAGGGAACAGACAGUUUGAGUUAUGAAAGUAGAGAGAACAAGAGGCAUGGACGUGGGCAUACUUAUUCUGGUGGUUAUGGCUCCAGUACUUUAGCUGCUAGUGACAGCUAUGGAAGUUAUGGUGGUCCCCAGGUUGGUGGUAGUAGCAGUGUUUAUGGAGCUUAUGGAGGCUAUUCUUCAGGACGUGGUGGUCCUUCUGGGAGAAAUGCUUUGAGCUGAGGGAGCAAUUUCACUAUUAAAAACUUUAUAUUGAAAUAUUUGAACUACAUGACAUAAAGUUUUCUUUAGGGGUUAUCCAGCCACACUCCUGUUUCCCGGCGCAAAAAUUAUGGUUACUAAGAUUUGGUGAUUGGUACGUGCAGAUAGACUAUGGUUUUGCUUUUGGUAUUCUUAUAUCUAUUGUUAUAACUUGCAAUUCUCUUUGGUUUGGUUCGGUACAUUACUAGUGUAUGACAAGUUUGAUAACAUAGCCUAUCCAAUCUCCCUAUUUAGGGUUCUGAUGCUCUUGUUUUCCCUUUGUUGCCUUUCCAUUCCCAUUAAAACAGCUGAGAUUUAUGAAGCCUGAAGCCAGCCUACAGCCUAAUUUGAUGAAGCCUGCCUAAACCGGAAGACCAGAUGAACCAGGGUUUGACAUACUCAUGGCCCACCCACCCUGAUGCUAAUACCAAAUAUAUGUGGAGAUCUUAUUAUUCUCUAUGAAAUUUGCCAUGUCCAUGACACCAAAAAUACCAAGCUUUAUUUUAUGUGCUUCCAAGAACCUAGCUAGCCGGCAUGCCUGUUGCUGCCUUUUUUUUUCCCUUAUUUUCUUGUCUUUUCUGCUUUCUAGUUUACAUUUGUCUAGGGGUUCGAAACCUUGUACCUUCUUCCAUCCACUGGCGGUUGUAUUAAGGGUGCUGGGUUUGUUAUCUAACAUUUGUCUUCUGCAUUUUCUUAAUUCGCUGGUUGUGUCAAUUUAUGAUUGGAUCAUAUCCUCAACUUACAGUUUACCUUAAAAAGUAGUGCAGAAGACAUAAUCUGGAUUGCUGGCAUUUUUAUUCUAUUUUAUUAACAUCUAAAUGGUCCUUGAGUCUUUUUAAUUUCCCUUAAUCAACAAGUCCAUUGGUAUUUACAUAAAUUUAUUGAGGGAUAGCUUCUUGAAAACAUGUUUACUCAAAAACUUAAAAAGUAUUAUCAAUUGUUUUCCUCAGCUUAAACUGAUUACCUGAGAGAAAUGGACUGCCUGUAAUAGCAUUUCCUUUGAGCAUGUGAUAUAGAUAAUGGUAUGGUAAGGAAAAUUGUUACCAAACAAACAAACUUUGUUUGGUGACAGGGAAGAGGAGGAAGGAAAAUGGAUGGAUUUGCACUUUUUCCCCCCUAAAUCAAAUCCUUUCAAAUUAGAAGGAAACCAAACUUUCUAUUUGAAUAUUUUAUUUACAAUUUUACCCUUAAUUCUCUGUAUUUCCGUCUGUUUUUCAUCUUUCAUACCAAAGACGAAUGGAAUUGUGAAUUGUUUUCCUAUCUUUUUUCUGUCUUUCCUACCAAACUUAUUGUCAAUGAUGCAGAGAAUGGAUGUAAUAUGGCAUCUAGUUAUGGACUGUUAGGGUUCGACUCCUUAACAUUGGCUUUCAGUGAUAUAUGUAUGUUGCAUUAUUUUGGGAAAAUUGCUAGUAUACGCUGUUGCACAGCUAGAUGUACUAUGCUACCAAUGGUUUUCCUAAUUAAAUGACAUUAUAAACAUGAGAAAGGACUAUGUGUUGGUGUCUUUUGCAAUGUUGGAUUAGGUUUUUCGAUUUUGUCCUGCACAAAGACCUCAAAUGAAAGGUAAGAGCUUAUUGUUUUUUAUGGUUGCCUAUAACUUGAGAGAAUGAAGGAGCUCAUUGAGGUGUUUGAAGCACACUGGUAAGUGAUUUCUUAAUCUCCUAAUAGUGUUGUGUGUAUUAUUUUGUCAAUAUGGUUGGACUGCUUAGACUGGUUUAUGAGCAAUUGAUUUGAUGGCAGGUUCUGAAUCUCCUUG